rnacentral:rRNA from 1 species
UACGUAGGUGGCAAGCGUUGUCCGGAUUUAUUGGGUUUAAAGGGUGCGUAGGCGGCCGCCUAAGUCAGUUGUGAAAUAUCCCGGCUCAACCGGGAGGGUGCGAUUGAUACUGGGCGGCUCGAGUAACAGCGAGGUUGGCGGAAUUGACGGUGUAGCGGUGAAAUGCAUAGAUAUCGUCAAGAACACCGAUAGCGAAGGCAGCCAACUAGGGGUUAACUGACGCUGAGGCACGAAAGUGCGGGGAUCAAACAGG